AUUCUACUCCCUCCGUUGCACAAUACAUGCCUUCUAUUUGUCAAAAUAUAUAUGUAUCUAGACAUGUCUUAGUAUAUAGGUACAUCCAUUUUUGGACAAAUGGAAGUCAAGUAUUUUGGAACGAAGGGAGUACACA
rfam:Triticum aestivum genome assembly, contig: Triticum_aestivum_CS42_TGACv1_scaffold_556625_7AL